GGACCGAUGGAUGAGAUUUCUUAUUACUCAUCAUCCUAAUUAGCAUGUGUGAACUUUGUCAUACAGAUUAGUGAAAAAUAAUAUCUUGAUAUGGUUAUGAUGUGCAUAUUUGUGAUUACUAAGGAUGGUGAACUUUUCCUUAAAUGAAAACAUCAUUUCAUGGUCAAUUACGGGUAAUUAAAGGAAGAAAUUUGUCUUUGAAUACCAAAAAGAUACACGAUUUAGAGAGUCAUUCCAAAGAAAAAAACCUAUACUACUUGGGACAUCUAACGUAUGCUCUUCUUCAGAGUCGUUGAAAGAAUGAUGCAGUACCCUGUUUUCUGCCACACCAUAUUACACACGAGUCAUCACAAUUGUUAAAGAUCAAUGAGAAUCGUCUGAAGCUGCCUGAGAGAAAUAAUGGAUGGUGAGAAAUGUUUUGCUUUGCACUCCAAUUUAUAUAACUAAUAUGAAUUUAUUAGUUGAAGUCUUGAAGCUGUGAAAGUGGCAACACACAGCCAGCAAUGAUGGGGCAGUAUUUCUGGCAACAGUAAUCAAAGUUCCCUCCAUGGAAACUAAGAUUCUAUUGCAUCUAUGGGAGCCAGUCAGUAGACCUUUGACAGAAAGUCAUCUGGGACAAAGCAAGUCCAAGAUCGAGGCAUGGU
rnacentral:sRNA from 1 species